UUAUUUUUGGCCAAGGCAUGCCAGCAGCUUGAUGUGGGAUCUCAGUUCCCAGACCAGGAAUUGAGCCCAGGCUGCAGCAAUGAAAGCACAGAAUCCUAACAACUAGACCUCCAGGGAACUCACCCUGCUUUUUUUUUUUUUAAUCUGAGGAACCCUUCUUUAUCCUCUAUCCUUUAUGUCACAGAUCAAAUAUUUCCUCUAGGAAAACCUCCCUGACUCCUCCAUGCCUAGCUAGUCACUCUCUCUCCUUAGUGCCCACAUCCUUCUCCUUCUGUUCAUGAUGGCUCUUAUUGCAUUGAAUUAAAAUUAUUUUGGUUACAAAUAGGUCUGCCCAGGUUCAAUCUGAGGUUUUUUUUUAUGACAGUGAAUUGUUCUUUGUUUUUAUUAUUUAUUUAUUUAUUUAUUUAUUUAUUUAUUUAUUUAUUUUUGUCUUUUUAGGGCCAUGCCCACAACAUAUGGAGCGGCUCAAGAAAUGGCAAAAAGACAAAAAUAAAUAAAUUAAAAAAAUAAAAAUUUGAAAUAAAAAUAAAAAUAAAAUAAAAUAGUGGGUUCAGAGUUGAGACUCUCUUUAAAGAGAAGCUUAUUUAUCUCAUUCUGAAGCAGCAAUUCUUGGGGAUUCAUGAGGUCAAAGCGAUUUUCACAAUAAUUCUAAGAUGCAAUCUGCCAUUUUCCACUCUCAUUUUCUCAAGAAUGUGCAGUAGAGUUUACCAGGGGCUACCUUCUGUGAGCUACUGCACAGACAGAAGCAGGUGAGAAAGCAGCUCUCUUCUACUAAGCGGGACAUUAAAGAGACUUGUAAGAUGAAAAUGUCAUUCCUCAAAUGUAUUUUUGGGGAAUACAUAGUUAUCCACAAUUUAAAAUGUCUUUAUGCCAACAUGUUAUGUGCUCGUUGUUAUCUUAAAAUAAAUUAAUAGGUCACUAUUUUUUCCAUUUCUUAGUUUUAAUUUCUAAUAAUAAUAUUAAAUUACUCAUAAAUACUAAAUGAUAAUAAUACAGUAAAUAACCUAGAGAAACAAAAAAAUUCUUCAGGAUCCUAAAUAAUUUUAGAAGUAUUAAGAGGCCAAGAGACCAAAAAGUUUGAGAACAUUUGCUCUGAAAUGAUACUCUCCAAGGCUGGCUGAAAGAGAAAAAAAGUUUUACUCUUGACCCUGCUACGUUCCUUAUGCUGUUACUGACUAGUUGCCCAUCAUGGUGAUGUCAGAGGACUUAAAUGCCUCUCAAUCGCUUUUCUAGCUUCUGUACCUCUAAUCGCCGUGCCUAGGUUUCCAAAUAAAGAGGAAUGAUUUUUCUUUCUUACCUGUGCUCAAUAGUUUCCUACGAGAGGAAGUGAUCCGGAAGAUUUGAGAUCCUUUUCUUCUCCUGGUAGAAGGCAGCAGCCCCUUCAGCAGCCCAAGCAGGCAGCCAGGAAUGCAAAAAGCACUCCUCCCGUUCGGAUCUAGCAGCUGUUGUCUGC
rnacentral:lncRNA from 1 species